UAUAAGAGAUUUUGAGUUUUCGUUUGAACUGUUUGAUCACUCGUCUUAUUCAAAAAAAAAUUAGAAUUAUUAUUUAUUUUUUUGUGACAUACUUUAUUAUCUAAAGUACUUUAAGCACAACUUUUCGUUUUUUAUAUUUGCACAAGUUUUUUGAAUAAGACGAGUGGUUAAACAGUUCAACCAAAAACUCAAAAUCUCUUAUA
rnacentral:pre_miRNA from 1 species